AUUACCAGUUGGAAACGACUGUUAAUACCGCAUAAUAUCUGUGGAUUAAAGGUGGCUUUCGGGCUGUCGCAGAUGGAUGAGCCUGCGUUGGAUUAGCUAGUUGGUGGGGUAAGGGCCCACCAAGGCUACGAUCCAUAGCUGAUUUGAGAGGAUGAUCAGCCACAUUGGGACUGAGACACGGCCCAAACUCCUACGGGAGGCAGCAGUGGGGAAUAUUGGACAAUGGGGGCAACCCUGAUCCAGCAAUGCCAUGUGUGUGAAGAAGGCCCUAGGGUUGUAAAGCACUUUAGUUGGGGAGGAAAGCCUCAAGGUUAAUAGCCUUGGGGGAGGACGUUACCCAAAGAAUAAGCACCGGCUAACUCCGUGCCAGCAGCCGCGGUAAUACGGGGGGUGCAAGCGUUAAUCGGAAUUACUGGGCGUAAAGGGUCUGUAGGUGGUUUGUUAAGUCAGAUGUGAAAGCCCAGGGCUCAACCUUGGAACUGCAUUUGAUACUGGCAAACUAGAGUACGGUAGAGGAAUGGGGAAUUUCUGGUGUAGCGGUGAAAUGCGUAGAGAUCAGAAGGAACACCAAUGGCGAAGGCAACAUUCUGGACCGAUACUGACACUGAGGGACGAAAGCGUGGGGAUCAAACAGGAUUAGAUACCCUGGUAGUCCACGCUGUAAACGAUGAGUACUAGCUGUUGGAGUCGGUGUAAAGGCUCUAGUGGCGCAGCUAACGCGAUAAGUACUCCGCCUGGGGACUACGGCCGCAAGGCUAAAACUCAAAGGAAUUGACGGGGACCCGCACAAGCGGUGGAGCAUGUGGUUUAAUUCGAUGCAACGCGAAGAACCUUACCUGGUCUUGACAUCCUGCGAACUUUCUAGAGAUAGAUUGGUGCCUUCGGGAACGCAGUGACAGGUGCUGCACGGCUGUCGUCAGCUCGUGUUGUGAAAUGUUGGGUUAAGUCCCGCAACGAGCGCAACCCCUAUUGAUAGUUACCAUCAUUAAGUUGGGUACUCUAUUAAGACUGCCGCUGACAAGGCGGAGGAAGGUGGGGACGACGUCAAGUCAUCAUGGCCCUUACGACCAGGGCUACACACGUGCUACAAUGGGUAUUACAGAGGGCUGCGAAGGUGCGAGCUGGAGCGAAAUCCAAAAAGG
rnacentral:rRNA from 1 species